UACGGAGAGUGCGAGCGUUGUUCGGAUUCACUGGGCGUAAAGGGCACGUAGGCGGCUUGGCAAAUCGGUCGUGGAAUCCCGACGCUUACCGUCGGAACGGCGGCCGAAAAUACCGAGCUCGAGGGCGUGAGGGGUCACUGGAACUCCUGGUGAAGCGGUGAAAUGCGUAGAUAUCAGGAGGAACGCCGGAGGCGAAAGCGAGUGACUGGCGCGUUCCUGACGCUGAGGUGCGAAAGCUAGGGGAGCAAACAGG
rnacentral:rRNA from 1 species